CCUACGGGGGGCAGCAGUGGGGAAUUUUGCGCAAUGGGCGAAAGCCUGACGCAGCAACGCCGCGUGGAGGAUGAAGGCCUUCGGGUCGUAAACUCCUGUCGAUGGGGACGAAAGCUUCGCAAGAGGUUUGACUGUACCCGUUGAGGAAGCCACGGCUAACUCCGUGCCAGCAGCCGCGGUAAUACGGAGGUGGCAAGCGUUGUUCGGAAUUACUGGGCGUAAAGGGCGCGUAGGCGGCCUGACAAGUCAGAUGUGAAAGCCCCGGGCUUAACUCGGGAAU
rnacentral:rRNA from 1 species